rfam:Felis catus isolate Cinnamon breed Abyssinian chromosome A2, whole genome shotgun sequence.
GCCUGGUGGGCUCAGUCGGUUGAGUGUCUGACUUCGGCUCAGGUCAUGAUCUCGGGAUUCGUGGGUUCGAGCCCCGUGUUGGGCU